CUCUGCUGGGAGGAGUGUGAUAGAAUUUAUCUUGAUUCCAAGGCUCAAGCUUAUAGGUGUCAUAUAAUGAUAUCCUAUAUUAAAAUUGGCUAACUUGGACUCAGGAAAUGCUUGAUGCUUAAACAACACUUAAGACCAUAUAUGUCUAAGUUCCGAGAGCAGAGAGCCCCCACCUAAGAUGUCUCUGCUCUAAUCAUUUUGUUCUCUCUUACCUUGAAACUUAUUUGUUAUGUGUACAUGACGCUCAUCCCAAUAUCUUAUCUGUAUUCUCUUCCUAUUACUGUUCUAAGAGUAUUUGCACAUAAGCACUUACUUUUUAAUGUAUAAAAUCCAGCUGAUGAAUAAAACGUCAGAGGCUUAUUUUGAAUACCAA
rnacentral:lncRNA from 1 species